CCUACGGGAGGCAGCAGUGAGGAAUAUUGGUCAAUGGACGAGAGUCUGAACCAGCCAAGUAGCGUGAAGGAUGACUGCCCUAUGGGUUGUAAACUUCUUUUAUAUGGGAAUAAAAUGUUCCACGUGUGGGAUUUUGUAUGUACCAUAUGAAUAAGGAUCGGCUAACUACGUGCCAGCAGCCGCGGUAAUACGGAGGAUCCGAGCGUUAUCCGGAUUUAUUGGGUUUAAAGGGAGCGUAGGUGGAUUGUUAAGUCAGUUGUGAAAGUUUGCGGCUCAACCGUAAAAUUGCAGUUGAAACUGGCAGUCUUGAGUACAGUAGAGGUGGGCGGAAUUCGUGGUGUAGCGGUGAAAUGCUUAGAUAUCACGAAGAACGCCGAUUGCGAAGGCAGUUCACUGGACUGCAACUGACACUGAGGCUCGAAAGUGUGGGUAUCAAACAGGAUUAGAUACCCGUGUAGUC
rnacentral:rRNA from 1 species